rnacentral:rRNA from 1 species
AACGAACGCUGGCGGCAGGCCUAACACAUGCAAGUCGAGCGAGGACUUCGGUUCUAGCGGCGGACGGGUGAGUAACGCGUGGGAAUGUGCCCUUCUCUACGGAAUAGCCCUGGGAAACUGGGAGUAAUACCGUAUACGCCCUAUUGGGGAAAGAUUUAUCGGAGAAGGAUCAGCCCGCGUUGGAUUAGGUAGUUGGUGGGGUAAUGGCCUACCAAGCCGACGAUCCAUAGCUGGUUUGAGAGGAUGAUCAGCCACACUGGGACUGAGACACGGCCCAGACUCCUACGGGAGGCAGCAGUGGGGAAUCUUAGACAAUGGGGGCAACCCUGAUCUAGCCAUGCCGCGUGAGUGAUGAAGGCCUUAGGGUUGUAAAGCUCUUUCAGCUGGAAAGAUAAUGACGGUACCAGCAGAAGAAGCCCCGGCUAACUCCGUG